rnacentral:rRNA from 1 species
GACGGAGGGGGCAAGCGUUGUCCGGAAUCACUGGGCGUAAAGCGCGUGUAGGCGGUCGCGUGCGUCGGUGCUGAAAGCGCCCGGCUUAACCGGGCGAGGCGUGCCGAUACGAUGCGACUGGAGGCAGGCAUAGGGCGGCGGAAUUCCGGGUGUAGCGGGGAAAUGCGUAGAGCUCCGGAGGAACGCCGGUGGGGGAGCCGGCCGCCUGGGGCUGACCUGACGCUGAGACGCGACAGCGUGGGGAGCAAACCGG